rnacentral:rRNA from 1 species
GAGAAGAAACUAACCAGGAUCGCCCCUAGUAAUGGCGAAUGAAGCGGGCUGAGCUCACGCUGCCAAUCUGGAGGCCUCGCGUAUGCAGCGCCCCCCGAAUUGUGGUCUAGAGAGGCGUUAUCGGCCGCGCCCGCCGCUCAAGUCCCUUGGAACAGGGUGUCGGAGAGGGUGAGAAUCCCGUACCGUGGCGGGUUGCGGCCUUACGAUGCGUCCUCGUCGAGUCGGGUUGCUUGGGAUUGCAGCUUGAAUUGGGUGGUAAAUUCCAUCUAAAGCUAAAUACUGGCGAGAGACCGAUAGCGAACAAGUACCGUGAGGGAAAGAUGCAAAGAACUUUGAAAAGAGAGUCAAAGAGUGCUUGAAAUCGGUAGGAGGAAACCCGGAUGGGCCCGGCUUCGGCGCGCCGACUCAGCCUGGGGUUCUCCCCAGGUGCACUUCUGCGCGCCGGGUCAGCCGCGCCUCGGCGCCGCGCCUCAACCCGGGAGCGGGGCUUUACGGCCAGCUCCCGUCCUGGCGCGGCCCGGGGCCCGGCUGACGGAACGGGCCCCUCCGACCCGUCUAGAAACACGGACCAAGGAGUCUGACACGUGUGCGAGUACCCGGGUGGCAAGCCCGCGUGCGGAAUGAAAGUGAAGGGCAUGCCCUGCCAACCGACCUUGACCUGCUGUGAGGGGUUUGAGUGGAGCACACCUGUCGGGACCCGAAAGAUGGUGAACUAUGCCUGGGUAGGGUGAAGCCAGAGGAAACUCUGGUGGAGGCUCGUAGCGAUACUGACGUGCAAAUCGUUCGUCGAAUCUGGGUAUAGGGGCGAAAGACUAAUCGAACCAUCUAGUAGCUGGUUCCCUCCGAAGUUUCCCUCAGGAUAGCUUGAACGCAACGGUUUUGUCAGGUAAAGCGAAUGAUUAGAGGCCUGUGGGCUGAAACAGCUUGCACCUAUUCUCAAACUUUAAAUGGGCAAGAGGCCCGGGAUGCUUGAGUGAUCCCGGGCGGCGAACGGCGCGUUCAAAGUGGGCCAUUUUUGGUAAGCAGAACUGGCGAUGCGGGAUGAACCGAACGCCGCGCUAAGGUACCCAAGUGUCCGCUCAUCAGAUACCACAAAAGGCGUUGGUACCUCCAGACAGCAGGACGGUGGCCAUGGAAGUCGGAACCCGCUAAGGAGUGUGUAACAACUCACCUGCCGAAGGUACUAGCCCUGAAAAUGGAUGGCGCUCAAGCGGACCACCGAUGCGCGGCCGCCGGCGCGAGCGCGAGGCGCCGGCGAGUAGGAGGGCGCGGGGCUCGCGGCGCAGCCUUGGGCGCGAGCCUGGGUGAAGCGGGCCCCGGUGCAGAUCUUGGUGGUAGUAGCAAAUAUUCAAAUGAGAACUUUGAAGACUGAAGUGGAGAAAGGUUCCGUGUGAACAGCAGUUGGACACGGGUGAGCCGACCCUAAGAGACAGGAAAACUCCGCCGAACGCGGCUGGUUCUGUCAGCCCGUCCGUCGAAAGGGAAUCGGGUUAAUAUUCCCGAGCCAGCGCGUGGAUGGUGGGCGGCGACGCGAACGAACCCGGAGACGCCGGCGGGAGCCCUGGGAAGAGUUCUCUUUUCUUCUUAACUGCCUCCUGCCCUGGAAUCGGUUUAGCCGGAGCGAGGGCUACACGGCAGGCAAAGCACCCUAAGUCUUGGGGUGUCCGGCGCGCUCCCGACGGCCCGUGAAAAUCUGGGGGAGCGGUUCGUUCUCACGCCUGGUCGUACUCAUAACCGCAUCAGGUCUCCAAGGUGAACAGCCUCUAGUCGAUAGAGCAAUGUAGGUAAGGGAAGUCGGCAAAAUGGUUCCGCAACCUCGGGAGAAGGAAUGGCUCUGAAGGCUGGGCGCAGGGGUCCUAGGCUCGAGGCCGGCUGGCUGCGCGGGGACUACGGCCUCACGGCUGCGGAUCCCGCGCGGCCGUCCGGCGGACGGCCUAGGAGCGCUCCGGCUCUCCCUGCGCGACGAACAGCCGCUUCAGAACUGGCGCGGACAAGGGGAAUCCGACUGUUUAAUUAAAACAAAGCAUUGCGAUGGCCCGCGAGGGUGCUGACGCAAUGUGAUUUCUGCCCAGUGCUCUGAAUGUCAAAGUGAAGAAAUUCAACCAAGCGCGGGUAAACGGCGGGAGUAACUAUGACUCUCUUAAGGUAGCCAAAUGCCUCGUCAUCCAAUUAGUGACGCGCAUGAAUGGAUUCGUGAGAUUCCCACUGUCCCUAUCUACUGUCUAGCGAAACCACAGCCAAGGGAACGGGCUUGGAAGAAUCAGCGGGGAAAGAAGACCCUGUUGAGCUUGACUCUAGUCUGUUACUGUGGAACGACUUGAUGGGUGUAGAAUAUGCGGGAGGGGCAACCCGACAGUGAAAUACCGCAACCGUCAACGUUGUUUUACUUACUCGGUGGCGCGGAGGGAGGCUCGCCUCACUUCUGGAUCCAAGCCGCUUCGUGCGCGCGAUCCGCGUCGGGGACACUAACAGGUGGGGAGUUUGGCUGGGGCGGCACGUCUGUUAAAAAAUAACGCAGGCGCCCGAUUUUGAGCUCAAUGAGAACAGAAAUCUCAUGUGGACCGAAAGGGGAAAAGCUCGGUUGAUUUUGAUUUUCAGUACGAAUACAAACCGCGAAAGCGUGGCCUAUCGAUCCUCUCGUCUUUGGGAAUUUCAAGCUAGAGGUGUCAGAAAAGUUACCACAGGGAUAACUGGCUUGUGGCUGCCAAGCGUUCAUAGCGACGUAGCUUUUUGAUCCUUCGAUGUCGGCUCUUCCUAUCACUGCCUCGCAGCGGGGGCCAAAUGCAGGAUUGUUCACCCACCAACAGGGAACGUGAGCUGGGUUUAGACCGUCGUGAGACAGGUUAGUUUUACCCUACUGCUGUCUGUUUUUCUACGGUAAUUUGGUUCAGUACGAGAGGAACCACCAAUUCGCAUCAUCGGUAUAGCCGCCGCCGGAAACGGCGAUGCGGCGAAGCUGCCAUGCGCCGGAUUAUAACUGAACGCCUCUAAGUUAGAAUCCAUGCCGGAAGGAAAGCCACCUACCGGCCCGGGGACGCCACGAGCAACGGUAGCACUGCCUGAGCCGCGAGCGACCACAAUUCACGGACCCGGGCCGACGAAUCCCUUGCAGACGACUUGAAUAAGGAACGGGGUAUUGUACGCGGCAGAGUGGCCUUGUUGCCACGAUCCGCUGAGAUUCAGCCUUGGUUCUGACGAUUUGU